GUGAUAGACUGUGUUCUGGGUUACUAUAAGGUAGUAGUGAUAGACUGUGUUCUGGGUUACUAUAAGGUAGUAGUGAUAGACUGUGUUCUGGGUUACUAUAAGGUAGUAGUGAUAGACUGUGUUCUGGGUUACUAUAAGGUAGUAGUGAUAGACUGUGUUCUGGGUUACUAUAAGGUAGUAGUGAUAGACUGUGUUCUGGGUUACUAUAAGGUAGUAGUGAUAGACUGUGUUCUGGGUUACUAUAAGGUAGUAGUGAUAGACUGUGUUCUGGGUUACUAUAAGGUAGUAGUGGUAGACUGUGUU